UACAGAGGGGGCAAGCGUUGUUCGGAAUUACUGGGCGUAAAGGGCGCGUAGGCGGCCUUCUAAGUCGAACGUGAAAUCCCCGGGCUCAACCCGGGAACUGCGUCCGAUACUGGAAGGCUUGAAUCCGGGAGAGGGAUGCGGAAUUCCAGGUGUAGCGGUGAAAUGCGUAGAUAUCUGGAAGGAACACCGGUGGCGAAGGCGCCCACCUGGCCCGUGCUACGUGACCGCUGAAGCUCGAAAGCUAGGGAGACAACGGAGGUAGCAAACCUGGUUAAGACCCAGUUCGAAAGCUCCAUGACUACCG
rnacentral:rRNA from 1 species